rnacentral:rRNA from 1 species
CACGUAGGGUGCGAGCGUUAUCCGGAAUGAUUGGGCGUAAAGCGUCUGUAGGUGGCUUUUUAAGUUCGCCGUCAAAUCCCAGGGCUCAACCCUGGACAGGUGGUGGAAACUACCAAGCUAGAGUACGGUAGGGGCAGAGGGAAUUUCCGGUGGAGCGAUGAAAUGCGUAGAGAUCGGAAGGAACACCCAAGGCGAAAGCACUCUGCUGGGCCGACACUGACACUGAGAGACGAAAGCUAGGGGAGCAAAUGGG